rnacentral:rRNA from 1 species
AGUGAACGCUGGCGGUAGGCCUAACACAUGCAAGUCGAACGGCAGCACAGUAAGAGCUUUCUCUUACGGGUGGCGACUGGCGGACGGGUGAGGAAUACAUCGCAAUCUACUUUUUCGUGGGGGAUAACGUAGGGAAACUUACGCUAAUACCGCAUACGACCUACGGGUGAAAGCAGGGGAUCUUCGCACCUUUCGCGUUUGAUUUAGCUGAGGGCGGAUUAGCUAGUUGGCGGGGUAAAGGCCCACCAAGGCGACGAUCCGUAGCUGGUCUGAGAGGAUGAUCAGCCAACAUGGAACUGAGACACGGUCCAAGCUCCUACGGGAGGCAGCAGUGGGGAAUAUUGGACAAUGGGCGCAAGCCUGAUCCAGCCAUACCGCGGGGGGGAAGAAGGCCCUCGGGUUGUAAAGCCCUUUUGUUGGGAAAGAAAAGCAGCAGGUUAAUACCCCGCUGUUCUGACGGUAACCAAAGAAUAAGCACCGGCUAAAUUAGUGC